rnacentral:rRNA from 1 species
AACGAACGCUGGCGGCAGGCCUAACACAUGCAAGUCGAACGAUAUAGUGGCAGACGGGUGAGUAACGCGUGGGAAUUUACCUUUCGGUACGGAAUAGCUCAGGGAAACUUGGAUUAAUACCGUAUACGUCCUCAGGGAGAAAGAUUUAUCGCCGAGAGAUGAGCCCGCGUUGGAUUAGCUAGUUGGUGAGGUAAAGGCUCACCAAGGCGACGAUCCAUAGCUGGUCUGAGAGGAUGAUCAGCCACACUGGGACUGAGACACGGCCCAGACUCCUACGGGAGGCAGCAGUGGGGAAUAUUGGACAAUGGGCGCAAGCCUGAUCCAGCCAUGCCGCGUGAGUGAUGAAGGCCUUAGGGUUGUAAAGCUCUUUCAACGGUGAAG